GCAAGGCUAAUCCGCGCUGGGUGAGUCGGCCCCUAAGACGAGCCCGAAGGGGGUAGUCGAUGGGAACACGGUUAAUAUUCCGUGACCUGGUGGUGUGUGACGGAUCGCGUAAGUUGUCUGGCCUUAUCGGAUUGGUCCAGGCCUCGAAGCGGUUCCAGGAAAUAGCCCCACCUUAUAGACCGUACCCGAAACCGACACAGGUGGGCAGGUAGAGUAUACCAAGGCGCUUGAGAGAAGUGUCCUGAAGGAACUCGGCAAAUUGCCUCCGUACCUUCGGAAGAAGGAGGCCCUCACUGCGGGCAACCGCUUUGAGGGGGCACAGGCCAGGGGGUAGCGACUGUUUAACAAAAACACAGGGCUCUGCUAAGUCGG
rnacentral:rRNA from 11 species